UACGGAGGGAGCGAGCGUUGUCCGAAGUUACUGGGCGUAAAGCGCGCGUAGGCGGGAAAUUAAGUGAGAAGUGAAAGGCUGGGGCUUAACCCCAUGCAGUGCUCCUCAUACUGGUUUUCUUGAGGGUGGUAGAGAGAAGUGGAAUGGCUGGUGUAGCGGUGAAAUGCGUAGAUAUCAGGAAGAACACCAAUGGCGAAGGCAGCUCUCUGGGGAACGGUACUGACGCUGAGACG
rnacentral:rRNA from 1 species